UUUUUUUUUUAAAUUUAAAUGUUAGUCCUUUCUAUCGCGCCUGUCUUUUGAUUUCAGAAAAAAAAUACAAUACUCUAAGUUCAAGAGAGUAAAGUUUACUGAAUUCCAGCUUUCGAAUGGAUAAAUGAGUGAAGGAGCAAGAAAAGGACUAAGGAGUAUGAUAAGAGUUAUACAUAUUGUUCUCAAAGCGCUACUGGCCCGUCAGUUGUUGGCUAAUAUAUUGAGCAGAUAUUGAUAGAAGCA